rnacentral:rRNA from 1 species
GCAGUGAGGGCAUGGGUGCUAAGGUCCAUGUCCGAGAGGGAAAGAACCCAGACCAUCAGCUAAGGUCCCCAAAUAUAUGCUAAGUUGAAAUAACGAGGUCUGAUUGCAUUGACAGCUAGGAUGUUGGCUUGGAAGCAGCCAUUCAUUUAAAGAGUGCGUAACAGCUCACUAGUCGAGCGAUCGGGCAUGGAUAAUAAUCGGGCAUCAAGCAUAUUACCGAAGCUAUGGAUUACGCCGCAAGGCGUACUGGUAGGGGAGCAUUCCAGUCUGCGUCGAAGGUGUGUUGUAAGACAUGCUGGAGCGUCUGGAAAAGCAAAUGUAGGCAUAAGUAACGAUAAUGCGGGUGAGAAACCCGCACACCGGAAGACCAAGGUUUCCUGAUCAACGCUAAUCGGAUCAGGGUUAGUCGGGGCCUAAGACAAACCCAAACGGGGUAGUCGAUGGACAACAUGUUAAUAUUCAUGUACCGGCUCAACUGCGAUGGGGUGGUGGAGUAGUGAAAGGUCUGCGUACUGACGGAAUAGUACGUUGAAGGGUGUAGAUAUAUUUGGAGUAGGCAAAUCCGCUUCGAAUGUCGAACCUGAUAGUACCGUGAGCCUUCGGGCAAGCGGAUAAUGACCCUAAUCAGACUCACAAGAAAAACCCCUAAGCUAUAGGUUGAAGCCGCCCGUACCGGAAACCGACACAGGUGGUCGAGGAGAGUAUCCAAAGGUGCUCGAGUGAAUCAUGGCUAAGGAACUAGGCAAAUUAGUCCUGUAACUUCGGGAAAAAGGACCCCCACUUUGUGGGGCGCAGAGAAAUGGCCCAGGCGACUGUUUAUCAAAAACACAUGGCUUUGCUAAAUCGAAAGAUGACGUAUAAGGCCUGACACCUGCCCGGUGCUGGAAGGUUAAGAGGAGAGGUUAGUCGCAAGGCGAAGCUUUGAAUUGAAGCCCCAGUAAACGGCGGCCGUAACUAUAACGGUCCUAAGGUAGCGAAAUUCCUUGUCGGGUAAGUUCCGACCUGCACGAAUGGUGUAACGAUCUGGGCACUGUCUCAGCCAUGAGCUCGGUGAAAUUGUAGUUCCGGUGAAGAUGCCGGAUACCCGCAACGGGACGGAAAGACCCCGUGCACCUUCACUAUAACUUUGCAUUGACUGUGAAUAAACGAUGUGUAGGAUAGGUGGGAGAUUGUGAAGCGGAGGCGCCAGCUUUCGUGGAAUCAACCUUGAAAUACCACCCUUUGUUUAUUUGUAGCCUAAUCCCCAACGGGAGACAUUGCAUGGUGGGUAGUUUGACUGGGGUGGUCGCCUCCAAAAGAGUAACGG